UGCCUGCUAGCACAACUGGUAGUUGCACCGGUUUCUGGUACCGGGGGUUCCAGGUUCGAAUCCUGGGCAGGCAGC
rnacentral:tRNA from 1 species